UGACCUCGGAUCAGGUAGGGAUACCCGCUGAACUUAAGC
rnacentral:rRNA from 9 species